GCAGUGGUGGGUCAGUGGUAGAAUUCUCCCCUUCCAUGUGAGAUACCUGGGUUCGAUUCCUGGCCAGUGCA
rnacentral:tRNA from 1 species